AAACAAAAAAGUGGUGGUUCAGGUGGCUAGGCUCACCAGGCAUAUUGGACUAGAAGUGCAGCGGCCAGUUAUCCCUCCACUGUCAAGAGACGGAGGUGUUUGCUGCUCUGUGAAACCAGCCUCACACAGUGCCCUCCAGUCUAGGACCAAGGAGACUCAAGCCUUCGCCUAGGUCACAUUGGCCAACUCUCAACUUGGAGUGGGCAGGCCAGCAUGGUGCAGCCACCAACCCAACCUGGCAAAUCUUAAGCCAUGUUCCAUCACCUUCAUGCCCCCACUUGGGUUACAAGUUGAAGUUACCCAACUCGGCAAGCUGGCAGCCUUGCCAGAAGUUUAUAUAGACUUAUUUCUAUCAUGAAAUUCUCGAUGUGGGACUUCUAAAUGUUAACUAAAACUUCUUCCCCUUCCACCAUGUUCAUUGUUCAACUUUCAUUGCUCACCUAAGCUUUUGAAUUAAGAUGCUAUGCUAAUUUUAUUGAUGUAGGUUUCAAGGCUUCGUUGUGUUUAAGCUUUUGGGCUCUCCUUCUAUGACUGUCCUAAUUCCUACACAUAUAUAUUUGAUGCUAUGGUAUAGGAAGACCAUAUAGACUUCUGAAGAAUGACAUUUGUAUAAUGACAUUUGUAUAAGGGUGCAGAAGACUCCUCCAAAGUUCAUUUUGAUUGUAUUCCAUUUCACAAUUUACAUGUGAUGUGAGUGUGGGUUAGAAUCACCAAAAUUGUAUGGGCAAAACAACAUCUUAAUUAGUUGAUGAUCAUGUAAAACAGGCCAUUCUUUACACCAAACUAUCAACAGCAGAUUGUGAAAAAACAAGCAUAAGAAUUGUUUAGUGCCAUUUUCUAAAUACAAUGAAAGUUUAAACCUCAAUCUCUUAAGGUACUAAAAGGUGGUUUACUGUCAUAUAUUUUCCUAAUCUUGAAUUAAUUCCAUUGUAAUUUGUUUGAUGAACACUCAAGUUUUUCUCAACCAAUAUAGCUACAGUGUCAUUUUUGUUUAUAUAUCACAAUUAAAACUAAUAUUUUUAAAUUAAAUCAUUUUCAAAAUCUUACAGCUUUAAAAUGUAUUUGAUCCUUAAGAAAAUGUAUUUGAUAUGCAUACAUAUUUUAUUUGCGUUCAUGUUCAAACCAAUUCAAACUAAACUGCAACUUGAUAAAGAAAUAAAAACUGCAGAAAAUUAAAUAUUGUUGGAUAUGUUCGUAUGUUUAAAAAACUAAGCAAAGUGCACAUGUAUAUUUAAUAGUUGUUUUUAAUUUUUUUACUGGAAUGAUAUAUUCCAUUAACCAAUUAUUUGUUGAUAUUAAUUCUUUUAAAAAUACUUAUUAGUUCAAUUCAUAUGUUUUAACCCCCUAUGUAAUCGAUGUUUUUCAUUACGCUGUGCGCGCGCAUGUGUCAAUAUAUAUCAUUUUGUAUCAUACCAAUUAUUUUAUCAUAUCUUUAUAAUAUUUAUAUUAAUACAAUUUUUUAUAGUUGUAAUUUGGAUAUUCAAAAGCUAACCUAAAUUAAAUCGCAUAAAACUGGAUAUUUCAAUAUUUUGUUUUGGUCCCAUUAAAUUUUUUGUUCGACUUUUAGUCAUCCAAAAAUGUUACAUCACCACUUUCUAUACUUUUAAGUCAACUCAAUUGUAUUAUUCCUAAUUUUUAAUUUUUUGACGCAAUCAUAUUUAGUACAUUAUAGAAUUCUCUCGAAAAAGUUAAAUUUUUUUAACAAGAGAUGAAUUAAAUAUAAAUUUUUAUUUUUUUUGUGAUUAAAAAUUCAUAUUUAAUACAUGUGUUUUUUAAAACUCUUUUUUUUUUGGAGAAAAUCUUUAUAAUAUUUUAAAAAUUUAUGCAAAAUUUUAGUCGAAAUUUCGAAUGAUACAUAUGAGUUGACUUUAAAGUAGGGACUAAAAGUGACGAUGUAAAUUUUUUAGUGGACCAAAAGUCAAAAUAUUUUAGGGAGAAGAAGACAAAAAGUUUGAAUGUUUAUUGAGAACAAAACCAUAUUGUAAUUACUCCUUUGUAAUUACUCCUUUCUUAAACAACUAGUUACAAUCCCGUGCUUCGCACGAGUUGAAUAACGUAUUUUUUUAAAAUUUAGUUUCGAAGGAGAAAUCUUAUAAAUUACGGAAAAUUGUUGUCCUUUAUAAAUGUGAAAAUCAAAGCUGCGUAAACCAAAAUUUUGCAACACAGAGCCUAAAACACUACAUAAAAAAUAACAUAACAACUAUUAUAAUAUCUUAUUCCUUAAAGUUAACCCGAACGCAAAAUUUUGCUCAAGAUUUAACCUAACUUCUUUGCUUAAUUUUAUUGUAUUAAUCCUAUUUAAUUUAAUCAAAAUGUUAACGUUAAUUGUUAGGGAGAUCAAAAUAAACAAAUCGCUUCUAAUUUUUCUCCUUAAUUUUACUAAACAAAUUAUAUUAACCCUAGAUUUAAUUUAUGCAAAACGUCAUCUCUUAUCUCUUAUUUUUAAAUGUUAACCCGUGACACAAUAUUAACCCUAGAUUUAACCUAAUUUUUUCGUGUGACUUUACUAUAUUAACCCUAGAUUUAAUUUAUGCAAAAUGUCAUAUCUUAUUUCUAAAUGUUAACCCGUGAUGCAAUAUUAACCCUAUUUUUUCGCAUGACUUUACUAUAUUAACCCUAGAUUUAAUUUAUGUAAAAUGUCAUCUCUAAUUUUAAUCUAAUUUUUUCCUCCACACUUUUGCAUUUAAUGUUUAUCUAAAGUAAAAUAAAAGUAUGUUCCCAAUUAUAUGCUGUUUUUUUGGAAAGGAAUAACCGUUAACCCGUCUAGCUAUACUUAACUUAAUCUCUUACUUAUAAAUGUUAACCCGUCUUGCUAUACUUAAGCUAUUUUAUUUUAUUUCUUAAAGUUAACCCGGACGCAAAAUUUUGCCCUAGAAUUAAUCUAACUUCUUUGCUUAAUUUUACCGUGUUAACCCUAUUUAAUUUAAUCAAAAUGUUAACGUUAAUUGUAGGGAAAUUAAAAUAAACAAAUCGCUUCUAAUUUUUCUCCUUAAUUUUACUAAAAAAAUUAUAUUAACCCUUAUGCAAAAUGUCAUCUCUUAUUUAUAAACGUUAACCCGUGACGCAAUAUUAACCCUAGAUUUAACCUAAUUUUUUCGUGUGACUUUAAUAUAUUAACCCUAGAUUUAAUUUAGGGUUAAUAUGUCUUUACCCCCCUGUAAUUUGGGCGAGUUUCGGUUUUCCCCCCUAUAAAAAAAAAAGUUUAGAUUCCAACCCUGUAAAAUAAGAUUCUUUGAUUUUAGCCCCUGACCCAUGUGACUGUGCAUAAUUGCUGACGUGGCGGGCUGAGUGGCAUGCUGACUGUGCAUAUCUGAUUAUGUGGCGUGCUGACUAUAUAAUUAAUUAUUUUUUUAUUUUAAAAAAUAUAUAAAAAUUAAAAAAAAUAAGGAUUUUUUUUAUUAUGAAAAAUAUUUUCUAAAAUAUUUAUUUUUCGAAAAUUCCAAAAUUUAUAAUUUACGAAAAAUAUAUAUUUCAAAAUUUUUUAAAAUUAUUUUCAAAAAUGUUGAAAUAUAUAUUUCAAAAAAAAAUUCAAAAUUAUUUUCGAAAAUUUGGAAUAUAUAUUUUUUAAGUUUAAAACAGAUUUUUUUUCGAAAAAUAAGUUUUUAAAAUUUUCUCAAAAAAAAAAAAAUCUAGAUACAAAUUUAUUUAAAUAUUUAGAUUUUUAUUACGAUGUGUUACAGAUUUGAGAAUAUUUUUUAAUAUUCAAAAAUUGAGGAUAAAAAAAAUCUGGAAAUUUUUUUAAUAUUUAAAUUUAUUCUUAUCUAUUUGUUACAUGUGUUAUUUGUAUUGAAAAUUGUGGACAUUUUUGAAAAGAAACAGCCAACCCAAAAGCUGAAAGGGGUUGUUUUCUUUAUAUAUAUUUCCAAAAAUAUUAUAUAUAAAAAAUUCAUACAAUUACUAUAUUUUGAAACUUUCGAAAAAUUAAAAAAAAAUCCAAAUUAAAUUAAAAUUUUAAAAAUAUUCGAAAAAAAUAAUAUAAACUAAUUUUUGAAUGUUUUGGUAAAAAAAUUAAUAUUUUUAUUUUUUGAAAAAAAAUCCAAUUUUUUUUUUCAUUUUUUAAAAAAAAUUGUUUUUUUUUUCUUGAUUUUAAAUUUUUGAAAAUGAAUUUUCAGUUUUUUUUUAUCUUUUUAAAAAUAAUUUAUUAAACCAUUACACACAUGUCAAAUUUAAAAAAAAAAUUAAAAUUAAAAUAAUUACACAGUGGCGUGCCAUAUCAGCGUCUGAAUGGGGUCAGGGGUGUUUUGUGGAGAAUCUUCAUAUUACAGGGGUGUUUUGUGGAGAAUCUUUAUAUUAUAGGGUUGGAAUCUAAACUUUUUUUUUUACAGGGGGGAAAAUCGGAACUCGCCCAAAUUACAGGGGGGUAAAGACAUAUUAACCCUUUAAUUUAUGCAAAAUGUCAUCUCUUAUUUCUAAAUGUUAACCCGUGACGCAAUAUUAGCCUUAGAUUUAACCUAAUUUUUUCGUGUGACUUUACUAUAUUAACCCUAGAUUUAAUUUAUGCAAAAUGUCAUCUUUUAUUUCUAAAUGUUAAUCGGUGAUGCAAUAUUAACCCUAGAUUUAACCUAUUUGUUCUAAAAGUACUUUUUUUAGUAAGUACUUAAUUGAUAUUGUGUUUUACCUAACUUCUCCUUAAAAAUGUAGAGAAGUUUGAAAAACGUCGGGUCAAACGAUACCUUAAUCUCCCAUAACGGCAAUGUAGAAACAACUGAAUUUGGGAUAAAAAGUUGAAAAAGUUAAAAAUAUAAAAAUUGGAAAAUAAUUAAAAGUUAUUAAAAAUAUAAAAAUUAGAAAAUAAUUAAAAAAAAUUGGUUAGGGGCAAAAAUGGAAAUUCAUAGGCCAUUGUUAAAAAAAACUCAACCAAUAAGUAGAUUACCAAAUUGCCCCUUAUAGGGGCAAAAUGGUAAAUUCAAGGGACAUUUCUUUUCUUAUUAGUAUAUAUAUAGAUAUAGAUUCAUUGUUUUUGUCAAAAAAAUAAUUCAUUGUUUGGUAAAAAGAAAAAAUAUUUAAGAAAAACCAUAAAACUCAAAUGGUUGAAUGAAUGAAAAAUUAACAUUUAUAAUUUUGCCAUAGAAAAAUCCUAAUCCUAUAGAUUACCAAUUAAUUAUGUUACACAUGAUGUGCUUUAACUUAUCCUAUCACAAUCCACAAAUAUACAUCAGUAGCUAAAAGAGAGAAAUGAAGAGAAGGAUGGAAACAUAUAGAGGGAAAGUGAAAAGGAGUGACUCUUAUUUCACAGUCAACCUUGUGUGAUUUAUAGUCUGCACUCUACUCUAUCUCGUUUGUGGUGUCAACAGCAAAAUAAGACUUGAAGUUAAAAAGAUUAUUGUCACAUAAAUUGACCGAAAAACCAGAAACAAUAGUUUAUGACUUUAUGUCAUUUUGUCAGGGUAAGAGAAGUAUGCACUACAAAUCUGCAAUUAACAUCAAAACACUCCUGGCUAAUCUUUGUAUCUGAAUUGAUGGAAAAGCCAUUCAGCAUUACCAAUAUGAAGUAGCAUGACAAAUUGCCAUAUAUGCUAAAAUUGAAUGUAUUAGUUGUAAAAGUGAGAACAUAAGUGAACGCUGCCACACCUUAAUUUACCAAUGGAUUAUGGAACAAGUGAUACUUGAAACAAAAAAAGUUGUGGUUCAAGUGGCUAGGCUCACCAGGCAUAUUGGGCUAGAAGUGCAGCGGCCAGUUAUCCCUCCACUCACUGUCAAGAGCCGGAGGUGUUUGCUGCUCUGUGAAACCAGCCUCACACAGUGCCCUCCAGUCUAGGUCUAGGACCAAGGAGACUCAAGCCUUCGCCUAGGUCCCAUUGGCCCAACUCUCAACUUGGAGCGGGCAGGCCGGCAUGGUGCAGCCACCAACCCAACCUGGCAAAUCCUAAGCCAUGUUCCAUCACCUUCAUGCCCCCACUUGAGUUACAAGUUGAAGUUACCCAGCUCGGCAAGCUGGCAGCCUUGUCAGAAGAUUAUAUAGAAUUAUUUCUUUCAUGAAAUACUCGAUGUGGGACUUCUAAAUGUUAACUAAA
rnacentral:lncRNA from 1 species